AUAAUCCAGCGCGCAUGCGCACAUUGUUGCAGUCGAUGCAUGGAAGUAGUGAGUAAAGUGGAGUUUGAUUUUUUCAGCUGGUACUAAAAUUGCAGUCCACAAAAACAAUGAAGCUGAAACCUGAAACGAGACAGAGGGUGAUGAAUGUCACGACGGUUGCUAAGUUGACUUUCCAGUUUGGUUUUGUUCCGUUUCUUCUUUACUUGGGCUUCAAGAAGGGAGCAGAGUCAGGAAUGCCACCAUUGACGAUAUUCAGCUUGCUUUGGGCUUAGACCUGUGAACAAUGGUUACAUUCAUGCUAGCCAGAAUCAUCCCAUCAGCCCAUCCUCCUCGACAGGCCCUCCAUAUACAAAUGUACAUGAACUGUACAUUCUUUUCAAAGGCAGAUUGAAGAAUGACUUGGCAAGGUGGAUCUUAACUUCAAGCCUGGAUUCAACGUGGUUUAUCAUGAACUGCACGCCUCAAGAGGUCCAUGAUGGCAAACACAUUGCGUCCAACAGUCUCGCAGUCCAGAUAAACAGCGAUGUGAUCCUGGAGCUUCAAGCCUUAUGGUGUGGCAUACGUCCAGUCUUAAGGGUUAUGAAGCGAGCUUCAUCAAGAGUCAAUCAAUUGCCUUAAUUAACACAGUUGUUAAGUUGUUUCCUCAUUACCAUCGCCUCUAUUUCAUCCCAUUGCAUAAUGAUCAAAAUCUGCAUUCAAAUUGUCUUUUUUCCCCUUGGUAUAUUAACUUGUAAACUGUUAUCUACAUCCACGUGUCAAACUAGCAGGGCUUUUGUGACAAAAAUACCCGACUUAUGUUGUUUUAUAUUCUUCUCUUGUAAAAUGUUUCCUUGAAAUGAUUUUACAAAGUACUUUCAUGUCAAAGUUUUACUGCAUUUUGUUCCUUUUAAGCGGGAUUUGACCCACACAUAGUUAUGUUGCUAAGUUUAUUAAAAACCAGUCUAUCAAUAUAAUCAGAAAGCUUGUUUGAAAA